ACACAGUUAACUGGAGAAACAAGGAACAUCUGAUUAAUCGGGCUGUAAGUAUGUGAAGGAUGAUGGCGUCUGUUAAAGAGCUGCUCGUAGAUUCACUGAAGGAGCUGGUAGAAGCUGAACUGAAAGAGUUUCAUUGGCGCUUAAAUUGUGAGCAUUUAUCAAGGUCUGAAUUGGAAAAGGCGGAUAGAUUUGACACAGUAGACAAGAUGAUAAAAUGUUUUGGACCAGAUGAAGCUGUGAAGGUUACAGUAGAGAUGCUGAGAAAGAUGAAGCAAAAUUAUCUGGCUGAACAGUUGGAGAAAAAUUACAAGCAAGCUCAGACUGAGAGG